rnacentral:rRNA from 1 species
GACGAACGCUGGCGGCGUGCUUAACACAUGCCAGUCGAACGGAAAGGCCCUGCUUUUGUGGGGUGCUCGAGUGGCGAACGGGUGAGUAACACGUGAGUAACCUGCCCUUGACUUUGGGAUAACUUCAGGAAACUGGGGCUAAUACCGGAUAGGAGCUCCUGCUGCAUGGUGGGGGUUGGAAAGUUUCGGCGGUUGGGGAUGGACUCGCGGCUUAUCAGCUUGUUGGUGGGGUAGUGGCUUACCAAGGCUUUGACGGGUAGCCGGCCUGAGAGGGUGACCGGCCACAUUGGGACUGAGAUACGGCCCAGACUCCUACGGGAGGCAGCAGUGGGGAAUAUUGCACAAUGGGCGGAAGCCUGAUGCAGCAACGCCGCGUGCGGGAUGACGGCCUUCGGGGUGUAAACCGCUUUCGCCUGUGACGAAGCGUGAGUGACGGUAAUGGGUAAAGAAGCACCGGCUAACUACGUG